UGCCUCGUUAGCUCAAUAGGAUAGAGCAACGCACUUCUAAUGCGUAGGCUACAGGUUCGAGUCCUGUACGGGGCGU
rnacentral:tRNA from 1 species